GGUACCACAACAAAACACAGCAGAGCAGGAGGAGAGGAGUGAGCGUCUGUACAGACAUGCACAAGAUCAAGAGAAAAGAGCACUUAUGCAUCAAAACACGGAAUGAGAGCCUCACUACGCAUGCUCCGACUCACGAAAGUGACCUACGUGUUAUGGCAGGCACCAGUCAAUUGAUAAUUCUUCUUGUAACCAGGCAGGGACAGCUGGAUAUACCAAUGUAGGACUUACCGGUACUUCUAAUGAUCUUAUUUUCAUUUCUUUAACUUUUCCAUUUAUUGUCCAUCCAUAGCUUCUAACUUUAUCAUUCUCUCUUCCCUGACAAU